CACGUAGGGCGCAAGCGUUGUCCGGAAUUAUUGGGCGUAAAGAGCUCGUAGGCGGUCUGUUGCGUCUGCUGUGAAAACCCGGGGCUUAACCCCUGGCUUGCAGUGGAUACGGACAGACUAGAGGUAGGUAGGGGAGAAUGGAAUUCCCGGUGUAGCGGUGAAAUGCGCAGAUAUCGGGAGGAACACCGGUGGCGAAGGCGGUUCGCUGGGCCUUACCUGACGCUGAGGAGCGAAAGCGUGGGGAGCGAACAGG
rnacentral:rRNA from 1 species